ensembl:lncRNA
CUUGGGGUUGAGAAGGAAGUUAGGGAGCUGUUCCAAGGAAGUGAGGCACAGAAUUGAGCUCUGAGGCAAGAGUUAGGCUGAGUGUGGGGGAAGUGUUCUCAGCAGAGAAAAAUAGCAGAUUCGAAGUCCUCGUGAUGGAGUACAUAUGGUAAAGGAACUGAAAAAAGGCCUGUAUGACCCAAAUGUAGUGAGCUGAGGAUGGGGGUUAGGGAUGAAAUAAACUGGAAAAAUAAGUAGGCACUUCAAGAACUAAUUGAGGGGCUUUCCUGGUGGUUCAGUGGCUAAGACUCCAAGCUCCCAUUGCACGGGGCCCGGGUUUGAUCCCUGGUGAGGAAACUAAGAUGUCACAUGCCUCAAUUAAGACCUGGCACAGCCAAAUAAAUAAAAAAUCUUUGAAAAAAAAAAAAGAACUAACUGGGAAAUAUCUGACAAAACUGAAGGAUUGGGUAGCCUGUGAUCCUGCAGUUCCAUGCUAGGAACAUUCUAGAGAAACAGACACAAGUGCACCAGGAAGUAUGACCAAGGAUGGUAACCUCAGCUGCAUUGUAUGCAAUCUUGGAAAACUUGAAACAACUCAUGUUCAUCGACAGGGGAGUGGACACAUUGCAGGUAUGUCUUUCUUGGGUUCCUCAAUAAACAGAGUCUGAAUCACAGGUCUACUUUGUUGGGGAGCGCAUUCCCAAGGAGAGAGAGUGCAGAAGAGUGGGAGUGAGGCAGGGAAAGACUCAAACAAGGGUACCAAAGAGAGGCCAUGGUUACCAUGGCAACUCAGGACCGUUCUGGGGAGAGGAAGGAGGGAGAGGAAUUAUCUCCUAGCUCCUGAUCAAAGGUUUGCCCCACUGGGGUGUAAACACCCUCCUUCAGGAUUACCCAUGUGUGAGCACCUAGGAGGCCCUCAGUACCACACAGGAAAGCCCCAGAUAGAGGCUGUUUGGCCAGAGCCCCACAAAAUCAGUCAAUGUGGUAAUCAAUGGUUAGGAUGGAAAAAGUGGCAAAAGGAAAUCACCCAAGACAGGAGGUUAAGGGCUCUGAAGGAGCCUAUGGCCUGCACCUUGUAAGGUGAAAUCUACACAGCAAGGGGAAAAAACGGCCUAGAGCGCUCCUUGUGUCUACAAGAUGACUCUGACCAGAAAAUAUUGAAUCACAUGACAAGCUGCAGAAGCAGGCACAAGCUAAAGUUCUGAACUGUGUAUAAAUUUCAGAAAUGGGCCAAAGUAAACAAUGUAUAUAGAAAAGCAAUGGAAUGCAUGAAGGAUAAAGGCCAAACUGAGCAAAGUAGUUACUUCGGGAAGAAGGAGGAGGAGACUGGGAUGGGCGGAUGAGAAUUGCAAAGAGAAAUGCUGGUAAUAUUAGGGUUCUUUCUGCUGGUAUUGUUUUUUUCUCUUUCUCUCCUUUUUUAAUGGUACACUUCACAGAUAAGCAUGUCAUGUCAUCCUUGUGUAGGCACCAUGCCAAUCUUUGUAUUGUUGCAGUUGUAGUAGACUGCACAGUUUUUUAAAAUAUUUAUUUGGCAGUGCUGAUUCUUAUUUGCUGCACCUGGGAUCUAGUUCCCUGACAAGGAAUUGAACCCAGGCCCUCUGCAUAGAGAGUCUUAACCACUGGACCACUAGGCAAAUCCCAUAUUAACUAUUUCUUAACAAAAUGGUACAUUAUAAAAGCUAUCUUUGUACAUUAUCAAUGUUCUAAAUGAAUUAAUCAUUAAAUGUAAGAUCCCAAUAAAAAAUAAUGAGUAAAUAGUGACUUAUUUUUAAUAAAAUUUUAUUUAUUUGGCUGUGUCAGAUCUUAUUUGUGGCAUGUGGAAUCUUUAUUUGCAGCAUGGAGGAUCUAGUCCACUGACCAAGGAUCGGAUCCAGGCCCUCUUCUUUAGGAGCUUGGAGUCUUAACCACCAGGGAAGUCCCAUAGUGACAUCUGAAAUUAUUAUUUAAAAAGAAGAAAAGGAUGUCCAUGAGGGAGGCAUAAGUGUGAAUGUACUUAAUGCCACAGAACUGUAUGCUUUAAAAUGAUUAAACUGAUGUGGGAUCUUAGUUCCCAAACCGGGAAUUGAACCCCACAGCCCCUGCACUGGAAGGCAAAAUCUUAACCACUGGACCACCAGAGAAGGCUCUCAAGAUUCGUUUUUUAAAAAAUUUUGCUAGUUGCUGUUACAGAAUGGCUUUAAAAGCAGAGACAUCAGGGAGCAGUUUACUGCAGACCUCUCGGUAGGCAAUGAUGGUAGUCUGGUUAAGAUGGAAGAGGCGAUGCCAAGCACAAGAGCUGAGAUUUUAAGAAAAUGUGGGUUUCCUGAUGGAUUAUAUGUGGUAGGAAAAGGGCAAGGGGGAGCAAGGACCCAGGGGUGACUCCAAGGAUGAUCAGCACCCCAAUUUCCCCUUCUCCAGAAGGUUCUCUAGAACCACAGAACCACAUUGCACUUGACAGUCUGUUCCUGGGAUGCUGGGCAUUUUUAUGUGAUUAGGCUGGAAUAGUUCUCUGGGAAAUAAAUGCCCUCAGUCUAAAAGGCUUUACAAGCCAGGGCAGAGGAUUAAAGGCGGCCAGGCUGAGGAGAAAUUCCAAGGUCAGGAGACAGCUGGGUAUGGAGACUUUUAAUCUAAACCUUAAACGUUUUUAUUUUUCACUCCCUGAACCCAGGGUGUCACUUUAAAUACGUGUUUGGCAACAUUGGCUGUUCUAUUUUUCUUUUUAAUUAUACAAAGAGAGAUCCUGGAAACAGCUCAGCCCCCAGGCUGGGGGAGGCGAGGAAAGUCUGGCAACAGUUGGAGGAGGCAGACAGCAGCUAAAAAUUGAGUGGAUUGAAGUCCCUUUGAAGGAGAGUGGAGACUCUACCGUGAACUCGGGGGGAGCCCUGACUCAGGGUUUCUAAAAGGAGACUGACAGUCACCAGCUUAGAACGGAGAGAUGACAGAUGGACAAAUCUGCAAGAUAAAAAUAUCACUAACACUAGCAUGGCUCUCGUACCUUGAGUUUCUUCCCAGACCUCUGUCCUCCUCCUUCCUUUCAUCCUCUGAGCAGAAAACACUUAACUAGACAAUUCAUUCACACUUACAGGCGACUCCCUACUAUGUGCUGGGCUCCAGGUUCAACUGUUUGUAUGUGUUAUCUUGGGAUUUUUUUUUUUAAAUAUAUAUUUGUUUGCUCCAGGUCUUAGUUGUAGCACGUGGGAUCUUCCAUCUUCAUUGUGGCAUGUGUGAAUUUUUUUUUUUUUUUAAGAUUUUUGUUGUGGACCAUUUGUUUUGUCUUUAUCGAAUUUGUUACAAUAUUGCUUUGUAGUUUUUUGUUUUGGGGUUUUUUUUGGCCCCAAGGCAUGUGAUAUCUUAGUUCCCCCGACCAGGAAUUGAACCCAUAUCCCCUGCACUAGAAGGUAAAAUCUUAAUCACUGGACCUCCAGGGAAGUCCCAGCAGGCAAACUCUUAGUUGCAGCAAGAGGGAUCUAGUUCCCUGACCAGGGAUCGAACCUGGGACCCUGAAUUGGGAGCUCGGAGUUUUAGCCACUGGACCAUCAGGAAAUUGUUGAUACCUUGUUUCAUGCAGACAGCAAUGUUGUGAGUAGAUAAUCAUACAUAUCAUUAUCCCUAUUUUCUAGAUCUGAGACUUUGAGAGAUUAACUAUAACUCCAGCUCCCCAGUGUUGGGCCUGGGCUUGUUUGCCCUCAAAUGCAUUCCUUGCCCUUCCUCUGCUUAGCUCUAUCACUGGGAGGCCAACCUCUGCAGGCUGCCAAAAGAGCUGACUUCCUUUAUAGAUCAACCAAUGGGAGGCAGUGAUAGGAGCCUAGUGGGCGGGAAGAAGGGAGAAGCCAGGGUUUUUCUCCCUCUCUCAAUCGCUGGAAAUAGUUCCAGGAGCAGCUGCAUUUCCUGUGUCUCUACCUCCCACCAGACAGUGCCACUGUGGGUCCAGCUUCUACCUGGGGACUCGGGUCCUUCCUGGGUACCAGAAGCACCACCCCACCUCUGUCCAUCCAACUCCGGGGGUGGUCCUGACCUUCCUGCUGUUGCUAAUCUGUAGGUUCUUCACCCUCCCCUGUUUGCCUGCGUCCAUGGUUCUUCCAUUACCUAGGAAGCGAAUGCAUACAUUCCCCUAUUUUAGUGUCUGCUUCUCCUGCUUGGAUUCUCACUGACUUUCUACCUUUCGUGAAUACUCGCCAUCUAGCCAAUUCAUCUGGUUUGAAAUGACACAAUUCUCUACUUGAGCACAGGACAUCCCACAAAACAAAAAAUAGUAACCACCAUUUGUUGAGCAUUAUGCCGAUUGCCAGUCAAAUGUUCUUUUGUGGAACACUCAUAGCAACCCUUUCUGCCAAAUCCCAUUAAUUACUAUCCCCAUUUGACAGGUGGGGCUCAGGUUGAGUUGCUUGCCCAAAGGGGUACAGUUAUAAAGUGACAAAGCUGGGAUUCACAUCAAGGGACUCCUAAACCCAUGUGACUUUCUCUAAUCUCUGCUGACAUCUUUUUGUUGUUGUUUUUAAUUUAUGUGGCUGUGCUGGAUCUUAGUUGCAGCUUGUGAGAUCUAGUUCCCUGACCAGGGAUUGAACCUGGGUGCCCUGCAUUGGGAUCAUGGAUUCCUAGCCACUGGACCAGCAGGGAAGUCCCUGUGCUGACAUCUUGAACACGCAGCCCCAUGAUAAACCCAUUAGGACUCAAGUCCCUUGGGUGACUGAAGAUCCCUCUUCAACUCAGUCCAGGGUGCAUAUAUGAGCAUUCCUAGGGUAGGGGCUUCCGUGGUGGCUCAGAUGGUAAAGAAUCUGCCUCCAAUGCUGGAGACCCGGGUUCAGUCCCUAGGUCAGGAAGAUCCCCUAGAAAAGGGCAUGGUAACCCACUCCAGUAUUCUUGCCUGGAGAAUCCCAUGGACAGAGGAGCCUGGUGGG